ensembl:lncRNA
CCGCCGGGGCUGCAGCUGGUGCUGGCUGGCACUUGCGGCGGCCACUGAGGAGCUUCUGGGCGACCUUGCGCUGGUACCCACCAGGCGCCAGCCAGUAGGUGCACAGCGCCUGCUCCAGUAGCGUCAAGUCUUUGCUGCGCGGACCCCGCAGGCCGGGAAGUCAGGCAGGUAUAGUAGUCCAGGUGGAGGUAAAGCUUUUCCUGGUAGCUUAUGGGUGGCGGCCGCUGGAUUGAAGCCUGCGGACAUGACCUACCAGCAGGCCGCCUGGAGUCACCCUCACACGCAAGCGCGCUCCUGGAAGACCCAGCACUCCCACCUCGAGUUCCGAUUGGCUCCGCGUGAGGGGCGGGCCUUUGCGGCAUCUUAGGGGGGCGCCUUCUGCCACGUCACUGGCGGUACAGUUCCUGGAGCUGGGCAGUCUUCUCAGAGUGGAACCUGAUGAUGAUUAUUCUCCAUCUUCUAAGAGACCAAAGACCAACGAGCCACCAGUUCCAGAACCUGCCAAUGUUGGGCAACAGAAAGUGAGGGAGUUCAACUCUGUUUUCAGAGAAAUGGAAUAAUCAUAUCGCUGAUCUAUGUAAAUAAGUUGAAGAAUUGUCUG